rnacentral:rRNA from 1 species
UGGGGAAUAUUAGGCAAUGGGGGAAACCCUGACCUAGCCAUGCCGCGUGCGUGAAGAAGGUCUUAGGAUUGUAAAGCGCUUUCAGCGGGGGAAGAUGAUGACGGUACCCGCAGAAGAAGCCCCGGCUAACUCCGUGCCAGCAGCCGCGGUAAUACGGAGGGGGUUAGCGUUGUUCGGAAUUACUGGGCGUAAAGCGCACGUAGGCGGACCAGAAAGUUGGGGGUGAAAUCCCGGGGGCUCAACCCCGGAACUGCCUCCAAAACUAUUGGUCUAGAGUUCGAGAGAGGUGAGUGGAAUUCCAAGUGUAGAGGUGAAAUUCGUAGAUAUUUGGAGGAACACCAGUGGCGAAGGCGGCUCACUGGCUCGAUACUGACGCUGAGGUGCGAAAGUGUGGGGAGCAAACAGGAUUAGAUACCCUGGUAGUCCACACCGUAAAACGAUGAAUGCCAGUCGUCGGGUAGCAUGCUAUUCGGUGACACACCUAAC